rnacentral:lncRNA from 1 species
AAUAAUCGUGUUAAAUUUGACGACCCAUACCCAUUUUAUUUAUGUCGUGUUCGUGUCGGGUAAUCGGAUCGUGUCAAAUUUUGCCAGCUCUAUUUGUAUUAAUUAAUGGACCUGUCUAUGGUACAGUUUCUGUAACAAACAUCUCCCGUCAUCCCACCAUCCGAUUUUCUAUUGUUUAGUUUCUCACUCCACAUCCAACCACAUCCAACGGCUGAUGCU